CAUCAAUCAAAUCCUACAUUCAAGAGAAUGAAAAAUGAACAAAAGAAAUAGAGAACUGACCUCUCUCAGGAUCUUCUUAUCACCAGUCCCAUUGGGUUGAUUAAGGUUAGCAACCUCCCACAAAGGAAUAUCAAGAAGAGUCCUAAUAACAUCUUCAUCCAAGAAAGGGAAUCUAGCCUCCUUUCCAUUAUCUGAAAUGCAUCUAUCAUCUCUCCCCAUGUUUCGCUUCCAUAUUCUUUGCAUGUCCAACUUCAUCUCCUCAUUGAGCCCAAGCCAACUUCCACAUCUAUAUUUUGUUUUGUGCCUUCCAUAACCAGCACACUGCUCAUCAGCACCAGAGCCAACCAGGACAAUCCUGGCCUUGGAUUUGUAUCUAAUGCGCUGUUGAUUCUCAACAUUGUUAUUGCCAGUUCCUUCAUAGACCCAACCAUAACCUCUUGCAGCCAGCCAUAAAGCAAUUCCUAUAUUCAGGUCCAUGUAGGUAUUUGCAGGGUUAAUGAGAGACAUAACAUGCUUCAUUUCCAAAGUCAACUUUGACAAAUCAGCAUCAAUCUCUACAAGUUUCCACCUUCUCAAUGGUGCGAUUCUUCUAAGUUCCUCUACACCUGCCUUGGCAGAGAUUCUAUCAGGAGCAAACCGACCAUCAAAGCUCACAUUCAGUAAAUCAAUUCCAUAGCUGGUAUCUAGGCAC
rnacentral:misc_RNA from 1 species